rnacentral:rRNA from 1 species
GCGAACGCUGGCGGCGUGCUUAACACAUGCAAGUCGAACGAGACCUUCGGGUCUAGUGGCGGACGGGUGAGUAACGCGUGGGAAUCUACCUUGCGGCGGGGAAUAACUACUGGAAACGGUAGCUAAUACCGCAUACGCCCUUCGGGGGAAAGGCUUCGGCCACCGCUUGAGGAUCCCGCGUCCGAUUAGCUAGUUGGUGAGGUAACGGCUCACCAAGGCGACGAUCGGUAGCUGGUCUGAGAGGAUGAUCAGCCACACUGGGACUGAGACACGGCCCAGACUCCUACGGGAGGCAGCAGUGGGGAAUAUUGGACAAUGGGGGAAACCCUGAUCCAGCGACGCCGCGUGGGUGAUGAAGGCCUUCGGGUUGUAAAGCCCUUUCGUCCACGAUGAUGAUGACAGUAGUGGAAGAAGAAGCUCCGGCUAACUCCGU